GGCGGCGUGCCUAAUACAUGCAAGUCGAGCGGAUCUUCUUCGGUAGCUUGCUACUGAAGUUGGUUAGCGGCGGACGGGUGAGUAGCACGUAGGCAACCUGCCCUUUAGACCGGGAUAACAUUCGGAAACGAAUGCUAAGACCGGAUACGCAAAAAGGGGGCAUCUCCUUCUUGGGAAACACGGAGCAAUCUGUGGCUAAGGGAUGGGCCUGCGGCGCAUUAGCUAGUUGGCGGGGUAACGGCCCACCAAGGCGACGAUGCGUAGCCGACCUGAGAGGGUGACCGGCCACACUGGGACUGAGACACGGCCCAGACUCCUACGGGAGGCAGCAGUAGGGAAUCUUCCACAAUGGGCGCAAGCCUGAUGGAGCAACGCCGCGUGAGUGAGGAAGGCUUUCGGGUCGUAAAGCUCUGUUGCCAGGGAAGAAUAAGGAUGAGGUAACUACUCAUUCGAUGACGGUACCUGAGAAGAAAGCCCCGGCUAACUACGUGCCAGCAGCCGCGGUAAUACGUAGGGGGCAAGCGUUGUCCGGAAUUAUUGGGCGUAAAGCGCGCGCAGGCGGUUUCUUAAGUCUGGUGUCUAAGUGCGGGGCUCAACCCCGUGAUGCACUGGAAACUGGGAGACUUGAGU
rnacentral:rRNA from 1 species